GACGAACGCUGGCGGCGUGCUUAACACAUGCAAGUCGAACGAGUGGCGAACGGGUGAGUAACGCAUCGGAACGUACCGAGUAAUGGGGGAUAACUGUCCGAAAGGACAGCUAAUACCGCAUAUUAUUCGAGCGGCCGAUGUCUGAUUAGCUGGUUGGCUGGGUAAAGGACAACCAAGGCGACGCUCAGUAGCGGGUCUGAGAGGAUGAUCCGCCACACUGGGAUGGUGACACGGCCCAGACUCCUACGGGAGGCAGCAGGGGGGAAUGUUGGACAAUGGGCGCAAGCCUGAUCCAGCCAUGCCGCGUGUCUGAAGAAGGCCUUCGGGUUGUAAAGGACUUUUGUCAGGGAAGCGGUACCUGAAGAAUAAGCACCGGCUAACUACGUGCCAGCAGCCGCGGUAAUAC
rnacentral:rRNA from 1 species